AGCGAACGCUGGCGGCAGGCCUAACACAUGCAAGUCGAACGAACCCUUCGGGGUUAGUGGCGGACGGGUGAGUAACACGUGGGAACGUGCCUUUAGGUUCGGAAUAACUCAGGGAAACUUGUGCUAAUACCGAAUGUGCCCUUCGGGGGAAAGAUUUAUCGCCUUUAGAGCGGCCCGCGUCUGAUUAGCUAGUUGGUGAGGUAAUGGCUCACCAAGGCUACGAUCAGUAGCUGGUCUGAGCGGAUGACCAGCCACAUUGGGACUGAGACACGGCCCCCACUCCUACGGGAGGCAGCAGUGGGGAAUCUUGCGCAAUGGGCGAAAGCCUGACGCAGCCAUGCCGCGUGGCUGCUUACGGUCUUAGGAUUGUAAAAUCCUUUCACCGGUGAAGAUAAUGACUGUAGCCGGAGAAGAAGCCCCGGCUAACUUCGUGCCAGCCGCCGCAGUAAAAC
rnacentral:rRNA from 1 species